GACGAACGCUGGCGGCGUGCUUAACACAUGCAAGUCGAACGGAAAGGCCCUGCUUUUGUUGGGUGCUCGAGUGGCGAACGGGUGAGUAACACGUGAGUAACCUGCCCUUUACUUUGGGAUAACUUCAGGAAACUCGGGCUAAUACCGGAUAGUAGCUCCUGCUGCAUGGUGGUGGUUGGAAAGUUUCGGCGGUUGGGGAUUGACUCGCGGCUUAUCAGCUUGUUGGUUGGGUAGUGGCUUACCACGGCUUUGACGGGUAGCCGGCCUGAGAGGGUGACCGGCCACAUGGGGACUGAGAUAGGGCCCAGAGUCGAACGGGAGGCAGCAGUGGGAAAUAUUGCACAAUGGGAGGAAGCCUGAUGAAGAAACGCCGGGUGCGGGAUGACGGCCUUCGGGUUGUAAACCGCUUUAGCAUGUGACGAAGCGUGAGUGACGGUAAUGGGUAAAGAAGCACCGGCUAACUACGUG
rnacentral:rRNA from 1 species